GGAGCCUCGCACCUCCCGGCCCCGCGGGGUUGGCGCGGGCUCUGCCCUUGUCCCCCCGGAGCGUUUGAUGCGCCUGCAGACGGGGAAGGGCGUGUGUGUGAAAAGCGGGGGCAGAGAGCAGAGCUUGCUUCUGUUCUCCACGAAACUUGUGGGAUUCCUAAUCUGCCUGGGCCGUUGUCCUGAGGCUCCUGAGGCGCCUUUGCAGAAACCAACGGUAACUUCAGCAGGACGGUUUGCUUAAAGAGACAGGCCAAUCAACAUAACCACAUAUCAAUAAGUCUUGUGAUGAAGCUUGUCAGAGCAAGGAGUCUCUCCCAGCCCCUGCUGUUCACGGUCUGCCACACAAUCCAAUAAAUUCCUUUUCUGAUGAUA